rnacentral:rRNA from 1 species
AGUGAACGCUGGCGGUAGGCCUAACACAUGCAAGUCGAACGGCAGCACAGUAAGAGCUUGCUCUUAUGGGUGGCGAGUGGCGGACGGGUGAGGAAUACAUCGGAAUCUACUCUGUCGUGGGGGAUAACGUAGGGAAACUUACGCUAAUACCGCAUACGACCUACGGGUGAAAGCAGGGGAUCUUCGGACCUUGCGCGAUUGAAUGAGCCGAUGUCGGAUUAGCUAGUUGGCGGGGUAAAGGCCCACCAAGGCGACGAUCCGUAGCUGGUCUGAGAGGAUGAUCAGCCACACUGGAACUGAGACACGGUCCAGACUCCUACGGGAGGCAGCAGUGGGGAAUAUUGGACAAUGGGCGCAAGCCUGAUCCAGCCAUACCGCGUGGGUGAAGAAGGCCUUCGGGUUGUAAAGCCUUUUUGUUGGGAAAGAAAUCCAGCCGGCUAAUACCUGGUUGGGAUGACGGUACCCAAAGAAUAAGCACCGGCUAACUUCGUGCCAGCAGCCGCGGUAAUACGAAGGGUGCAAGCGUUACUCGGAAUUACUGGGCGUAAAGCGUGCGUAGGUGGUCGUUUAAGUCCGUUGUGAAAGCCCUGGGCUCAACCUGGGAACUGCAGUGGAUACUGGACGACUAGAGUGUGGUAGAGGGUAGCGGAAUUCCUGGUGUAGCAGUGAAAUGCGUAGAGAUCAGGAGGAACAUCCAUGGCGAAGGCAGCUACCUGGACCAACACUGACACU